CGUCCUUGGCAGAAUUAGCGGGGAAAGAAGACCCUGUUGAGCUUGACUCUAGUCCGACUUUGUGAAGAGACAUGAGAGGUGUAGGAUAAGUGGGAGGUCUUCGGGCCGACGGUGAAAUACCACUACUCCCAUCGUUUUUUUACUUAUUCAGUAAAGCAUCGCAUUCUACACACCACCGCAUAUUGUUCAGCUAUGUUUCUAUGUUAAAUGUUUCUUAGAAAGGUGAAUUAUUUUAAUAAAUUUAAAUGGUUUCUAAAUUACAGUUGCAGUAAUACUAAAAAUGAGAAAUGUGAAUGUCCGAAGUGUGUCAGACUGAAGCAGUGUAUUGAAGCGCCUUGGUGUAUCUCUCUAAACCUCUAUGUAAAAAUAGUCGUGAUCUUAAAUGCUUUGUUUUUAAACAGGUGAAUCACCAGUGUCAGCAACAGAAUUUUAUGUGGCAAUUGAACAAGAAGUGACUGCAAGAUUUGAAGAUUUCUUCAAAGCAUUAGUGUAUACAUUCUGCUCAUUCUACGU
rnacentral:ncRNA from 1 species